rnacentral:misc_RNA from 1 species
GAUGAAGAACGUAGCGAAAUGCGAUAAGUAAUGUGAAUUGCAGAAUUCAGUGAAUCAUCGAAUCUUUGAACGCACAUUGCGCCCUCUGGUAUUCCGGGGGGCAUGCCUGUUCGAGCGUCAUUAUAACCACUCAAGCUCUCGCUUGGUAUUGGAGUUCGCGAUCUCGCGGCUCCUAAAAUCAGUGGUGGUGCCUGUCGGCUCUACGCGUAGUAAUACUCCUCGCGAUUGAGUCCGGUAGGUUUACUUGCCAGCAACCCCCAAUUUUUACAGGUUGACCUCGGAUCAGGUAGGGAUACCCGCUGAACUUAAGCAUAUCAAUAAGCGGAGGA